GGGAGCUUGCUCUGUGGGAUCAGUGGCGAACGGGUGAGUAACACGUGAGCAACCUGCCCCUGACUCUGGGAUAAGCGCUGGAAACGGCGUCUAAUACUGGAUAUGUGACGUGACCGCAUGGUCUGCGUCUGGAAAGAAUUUCGGUUGGGGAUGGGCUCGCGGCCUAUCAGCUUGUUGGUGAGGUAAUGGCUCACCAAGGCGUCGACGGGUAGCCGGCCUGAGAGGGUGACCGGCCACACUGGGACUGAGACACGGCCCAGACUCCUACGGGAGGCAGCAGUGGGGAAUAUUGCACAAUGGGCGCAAGCCUGAUGCAGCAACGCCGCGUGAGGGACGACGGCCUUCGGGUUGUAAACCUCUUUUAGCAGGGAAGAAGCGAAAGUGACGGUACCUGCAGAAAAAGCGCCGGCUAACUACGUGCCAGCAGCCGCGGUAAUACGUAGGGCGCAAGCGUUAUCCGGAAUUAUUGGGCGUAAAGAGCUCGUAGGCGGUUUGUCGCGUCUGCUGUGAAAUCCGGAGGCUCAACCUCCGGCCUGCAGUGGGUACGGGCAGACUAGAGUGCGGUAGGGGAGAUUGGAAUUCCUGGUGUAGCGGUGGAAUGCGCAGAUAUCAGGAGGAACACCGAUGGCGAAGGCAGAUCUCUGGGCCGUAACUGACGCUGAGGAGCGAAAGGGUGGGGAGCAAACAGGCUUAGAUACCCUGGUAGUCCACCCCGUAAACGUUGGGAACUAGUUGUGGGGUCCAUUCCACGGAUUCCGUGACGCAGCUAACGCAUUAAGUUCCCCGCCUGGGGAGUACGGCCGCAAGGCUAAAACUCAAAGGAAUUGACGGGGACCCGCACAAGCGGCGGAGCAUGCGGAUUAAUUCGAUGCAACGCGAAGAACCUUACCAAGGCUUGACAUAUACGAGAACGGGCCAGAAAUGGUCAACUCUUUGGACACUCGUAAACAGGUGGUGCAUGGUUGUCGUCAGCUCGUGUCGUGAGAUGUUGGGUUAAGUCCCGCAACGAGCGCAACCCUCGUUCUAUGUUGCCAGCACGUAAUGGUGGGAACUCAUGGGAUACUGCCGGGGUCAACUCGGAGGAAGGUGGGGAUGACGUCAAAUCAUCAUGCCCCUUAUGUCUUGGGCUUCACGCAUGCUACAAUGGCCGGUACAAAGGGCUGCAAUACCGCGAGGUGGAGCGAAUCCCAAAAAGCCGGUCCCAGUUCGGAUUGAGGUCUGCAACUCGACCUCAUGAAGUCGGAGUCGCUAGUAAUCGCAGAUCAGCAACGCUGCGGUGAAUACGUUCCCGGGUCUUGUACACACCGCCCGUCAAGUCAUGAAAGUCGGUAAC
rnacentral:rRNA from 1 species